rnacentral:rRNA from 1 species
UACGUAGGGUGCAAGCGUUGUCCGGAAUUAUUGGGCGUAAAGAGCUCGUAGGCGGUCUGUUGCGUCGGCUGUGAAAACCCGGGGCUCAACUCCGGGCCUGCAGCCGAUACGGGCAGACUAGAGUUCGGCAGGGGAGACUGGAAUUCAUGGUGUAGCAGUGAAAUGCGUGGAGAUCAUGAGGAAGACCAGUGGCGAAGGCGGGUCUCUGGACAGUUCCUGACACUGAGACACGAAGGCCAGGGGAGCAAACGGG